CGGGUGAGUAACACGUGAGUGACCUGCCUUUUAGACUGGAACAACUUACCGAAAGGUGAGCUAAUGCCGGAUGAGUUAUAUAAGUGCAUGUUUAUAUAGGAAAAGUUGGGGAGACCUGACGCUGAAAGAUGGACUCGCGUCCCAUUAGCUAGUUGGUAGGGUAAUGGCCUACCAAGGCGACGAUGGGUAGCCGGCCUGAGAGGGUGGCUGGCCACACUGGGACUGAGACACGGCCCAGACUCCUACGGGAGGCAGCAG
rnacentral:rRNA from 1 species